GACGAACGCUGGCGGCGUGCUUAACACAUGCAAGUCGAACGGAAAGGCCCUGCUUUUGUGGGGUGCUCGAGUGGCGAACGGGUGAGUAACACGUGAGUAACCUGCCCUUGACUUUGGGAUAACUUCAGGAAACUGGGGCUAAUACCGGAUAGGAGCUCCUGCUGCAUGGUGGGGGUUGGAAAGUUUCGGCGGUUGGGGAUGGACUCGCGGCUUAUCAGCUUGUUGGUGGGGUAGUGGCUUACCAAGGCUUUGACGGGUAGCCGGCCUGAGAGGGUGACCGGCCACAUUGGGACUGAGAUACGGCCCAGACUCCUACGGUAGGCAGCAGUGGGGAAUAUUGCACAAUGGGCGGAAGCCUGAGGCAGCAACGCCGCGUGCGGGAUGACGGCCUUCGGGUUGUAAACCGCUUUCGCCUGUGACGAAGCGUGAGUGACGGUAAUGGGUAAAGAAGCACCGGCUAACUACGUG
rnacentral:rRNA from 1 species